CUACACUUCUCUUAUAAUUUGUUUGUCAUGAACUCUAAAUUAAAUUAAAAAUUAAAGAUAAAGGUUUUUGAUAAAAAUUCCUAAAUUUUUGAAUAGAAAUUAUCAAAGAUCUGAUCUUGUAUAAUUAGAUAUAGAUUUACACUUGAAGCACUAACUUGCUUACACUGGUAUCAGGUUUGGACUUGCAGGUCGUAAGUCUUUAUAAAAUCUAACAAAAAAAUGUUGCGUAGCUGGUAAUUUUGGAAGUUGGACUGGUGUAUGGAAAAGGUAGAAACUAAUGGUCACUACAUCUGUAUUUGUACAAUUUUAAAAUAAAGUAUAAUAGGUAAGUUUAUAUUUUACCAACAAAUUCAGCCUUACAAACCACAUAUUUUGAUGGUUUUAUUAAAUAUUAGUUCUAAUCUUUAUAAAAAUCGAACAAUUGGAGAAAUUUAAACCUAAAAAUAGAGAAGUACCGUGAGAUUUUGUAUAAAUUAAUUUAAUUUACUG